AUGUCCGACAUCAGGUACGCGCACCAUACCGAUGCCGAGAGCGCGCGCAAGGUCAAGAUCCGCACCCCCUUCUAUGAUGUAUCCUUCCGAACAUACCUCGAAUUCUCAGAUCACUUCCGCUUCGCCAUCCAUGCCCCGCCCGGUUCUUUGUCAGCAAGCACAGACGGCAUGAUGAUCAUCAUGUACCACCGCUGGUUGCUGGAACGAGAGAGCAUAGUGGUCUGCCGGCCCGGAGACGCGGCCUGGACGAAGCUGCCAAAACGCCCGUCUUCUCGCUUCGACUAUUUCAUCGAUGUAACCUCUUUUCAGGGCAAGAUUUAUGGCUUGGAAUCUAAUGGUGCCACAAUGGUGUUUGACGCAACCACACUCGAGUUCCUCUGCUCGAUUGAUGCGCCACAGUCGACGUCCAAGCUUUACUCCAUGAUAUAUUGGCCUUACAAGCAUGAUGACCCUGUCGAUUUCGACUAUUUCCAUCUCGUUGCAUUGCCAAACAAGCUACUUUUGGUCGUUGUAAGCGUGAAAUCACUUGAGCCAACAGGUUUCGCCUUCUUUGAGUUAACGUCUGGAUCUAGGGAUGGCCGGCUCUCCUGGAGUAAGGUAACAGGAGAUGGAAUCGGUGGCAACUACGAUGUGUUCAUGGAUUGCCACCAUGCGACCUUUAGCGACAACAAUGGUGUUGGAACCGGAACUCGGGUAUAUUAUGUUCUUCACCGGACGUGGCAUCCCAAAGCAUCCACGUACUACUAUGGGAUGCAUGACGGCAAGAUGGAGUGCCUGUACAGGUCACUAGACGAUAAUUGUGAAUACUCAACUAAGCCUAGUUGGUUUGUUCCCUAG
rnacentral:rRNA from 1 species